CAUUACCGAGUUUACAACUCCCAAACCCCUGUGAACAUACCUUAAUGUUGCCUCGGCGGAUCAGCCCGCGCCCCGUAAAACGGGACGGCCCGCCAGAGGACCCAAACUCUAAUGUUUCUUAUUGUAACUUCUGAGUAAAACAAACAAAUAAAUCAAAACUUUCAACAACGGAUCUCUUGGUUCUGGCAUCGAUGAAGAACGCAGCAAAAUGCGAUAAGUAAUGUGAAUUGCAGAAUUCAGUGAAUCAUCGAAUCUUUGAACGCACAUUGCGCCCGCUGGUAUUCCGGCGGGCAUGCCUGUUCGAGCGUCAUUUCAACCCUCAAGCCCCCGGGUUUGGUGUUGGGGAUCGGCUCUGCCCUUCUGGGCGGUGCCGCCCCCGAAAUACAUUGGCGGUCUCGCUGCAGCCUCCAUUGCGUAGUAGCUAACACCUCGCAACUGGAACGCGGCGCGGCCAUGCCGUAAAACCCCAACUUCUGAAUGUUGACCUCGGAUCAGGUAGGAAUACCCGCUGAACUUAAGCAUAUC
rnacentral:rRNA from 1 species